rnacentral:lncRNA from 1 species
ACUAAUAUCUUCAAAUGUAUUAUUUCCAUAAUCAUAAAUUAAAUCAUAAAUUAAAUAUUUGACAGAUGGAGAAACUGAGGCAAAGGGGCUGCUGACUCUCUCCACACCACUGAAAAGACACCUGGGGUAACUUCAGCCCAUGCUCACUUCUUGGACCAUUUGUCUUCCUUGAUGAUUAUUACUGAAGAGAAGAAGAUUCAGAAACCCUGUGUUAGAUGUUGAUACUGCUGAUCCAGGAGCCAUAAUUUAAAAAUCUUGGAUUCAGACAGACCCAAGGUAUUUAUACAUGAGAGGAAAAAUGCUUCUC